rnacentral:rRNA from 1 species
GGAAUUUUGGACAAUGGGCGAAAGCCUGAUCCAGCCAUGCCGCGUGAGUGAAGAAGGCCUUCGGGUUGUAAAGCUCUUUCAGACGGAAAGAAAUCGCUCUUCCCAAUACGGAGGGUGGAUGACGGUACUGUCAGAAGAAGCACCGGCUAACUACGUGCCAGCAGCAGCGGUAAUACGUAGGGUGCGAGCGUUAAUCGGAAUUACUGGGCGUAAAGCGUGCGCAGGCGGUUGUGUAAGACAGGUGUGAAAUCCCCGGGCUUAACCUGGGAACUGCGCUUGUGACUGCACGGCUAGAGUACGGCAGAGGGGGGUGGAAUUCCACGUGUAGCAGUGAAAUGCGUAGAUAUGUGGAGGAACACCGAUGGCGAAGGCAGCCCCCUGGGCCGAUACUGACGCUCAUGCACGAAAGCGUGGGGAGCAAAC